UUGGAAUUCUAUUUUGAUGGGAUGGCGGAUAAAUCAUCAUCAGUUCCGACAAUAAAUCCAAACAAUCAUCUUAAAUUAAUCUACACCAAUUGGUUAUGACUUCUACCAUUGAAACGUAUUCACAACUUAGAGAAAAACAACCUCCUAUACUACAAAAGCUAGAGGUUGCUAAAAAUUAAUUUCCAAUAUUCAGAAAUGUGAACUCAUGCAAUCACAAUUCACUUACAUAGGGUAUAAACAGUGAAAAUAAUUGAAAUUACAACAAAACAGAAAAACAUUAACUUGACAGAAAUAGAAAUUUAGCAAAUGAAAGCUGUGAAAUUAACCACAAUACAUAAUUAGUCAUACUUCCACUAAUUAAUCAUACAAUAAUAAGAAGACAAAACAUAAUCCACUCAGCAGUAAACGGAAUGAUCAAGAACUUUUACCUCUUCCUAUUAGAAUUUAAGAUAACUGGAAUUGAAGAUUGUAGGAGAAUGAGAGCAACGAAUGACAACAGGAUAAGUGGGUGCACCCCCAACCAGCCUUAACUUAAAAUCAAUUGAAUAUAUCAACAAUUCGACAUAUAAUUUUAUAAACAACCAAAUGAUUAGUGAAAAAAAAAAUCAAGAUUCAAGAAAGGUGAACUAAUUAUCUUUUUACUCGAAUGGAGUUUGGAGAAUAUCAAUAAUCAAUAACACAUAGGUAAAUCUGGUGACGGUACCAAAUCAGAAACAUUAAACCUCCAGGAUGCGAGUUUCUUCAGGCUUCUUCAAUUCAACCAAAACAAUAGUUGAUUAAUAAGAAAUGUUACAUAAAAUAUAUAAUCCUAAUCAUGUAGAAAAGAUAUAAAAAGAAUAAGAUAUUGAUCUCAUUUACAGAGGUAGUGGUGAUGGCAAAAAAGUUUUCUUCUUCACCAACCUUGUGUCUCCAGGUCUACAGAAAACAUAAGGGUCUGUUGAUUAGGUUUACUAAACAAAGUAAUUUUCAAUUUACUAAGAACCUCAUGCAACCAGACAUCAAACUGUUCUAUAGAAAUUGGUCAUUUUCGAUUAUUGGGAUCUAUUCGUUUAUCCUUAAAAAUCAAAUAAAUUCAUACAAAUUUUUAACCUGAUUGUUCCCUAUUCAAAAUCAGAGCAGCACAACCAAUGCAGAAGAACCAAUUUUAUAAUUAUGCAGCAUUCCAAGAAAUGUUUUUUUUUUCAAGUGUGCAAGAGCAAAAAUCUCAUGUACUUGUAUUGUUGCACCAACUAAUACUAUAGAACUAAUGCUUUUCUUAUCAAAAUAAGUGAUUGGUUUGAUAUAAUAAGAGUGUAAACACCAAAGGGUCUAAGAAGCACCGCGAUUUUAAAGCAUUUGCUACAGAUUAUUGUUUGACAUCAGGUAUGUCGAUAUAUCUGAAUCAUUUCAAACAUAUAAAUAUAUAAAUGCAUCAUUUUUAAUGAAGCUAAAUUACAAUCUUCUUUGUCGUUGUGUUACAGGUCUCUCAGUAUGUGAGAAUUAGGUCAAAUAGAAAAAAGAUUGGAAAAACAUACCAGGUAAAUGUCGAUAACAACUGAGGAAUGAAGGAAAUAGAUGAAUCAGAAAUUGAUGGCUUAGCAUUGUCAUUGUCCUCACCUCUUCGCUGGUGGUGACGAUUAGAGUUGUGGAGACUGUUAGGGUUUCUCAUCAUAACAGAACGUAGAGGAUGGGCAAGAGAAGGGGUGGCAAUGGCAGUGGCUAGAUAAGGUUUCAAAAGUUGGAUCUUCAUUAGACACAUGUGCGAUUGGGGUUUUGAGAAGAGAAACAGAUGUAAAGAAAAGUAGAGUUGUAGGGCAUCGAUCAUCCAGGUUAGAAGGAAUCAUCCAGGUUAGGAGGUCGAGCAUUUUAGUGAGCGGCGAUUGUGAUGUAUCGAGGAGAAACACCGGAAACUAAAGUGAGUUAGAAGAGAGGCGAUAGAGGGGGUGGGUUUGACGGCGUCAAAUGAUGUAUCGAG
rnacentral:lncRNA from 1 species